UACGUAGGGGCCGAGCGUUGUCCGGAGUUACUGGGCGUAAAGCGCGCGCAGGCGGCUCGUCAAGCCUGACGUGAAAGCCCCCGGCUCAACCGGGGAGGGUCGUCGGGGACUGGCGGGCUUGAGGUCGGCAGGGGUUGGUGGAAUUCCCGGUGUAGUGGUGAAAUGCGUAGAGAUCGGGAGGAACACCCGUGGCGAAGGCGGCCAACUGGACCACAACUGACGCUGAGGCGCGAAAGCUAGGGGAGCAAACAGG
rnacentral:rRNA from 1 species